rnacentral:rRNA from 2 species
AGGGGGCAAGCGUUAUCCGGAUUUACUGGGUAAAGGGAGCGCAGACGGCAGUGCAAGUCCGGAGUGAAAGCCCGGGGCCCAACCCCGGGACUGCUCUGGAAACUGUACGGCUGGAGUGCCGGAGAGGUAAGCGGAAUUCCUAGUGUAGCGGUGAAAUGCGUAGAUAUUAGGAGGAACACCAGUGGCGAAGGCGGCUUACUGGACGGUAACUGACGUUGAGGCUCGAAAGCGUGGGGAGCAAACAGGAUUAGAUACCCUGGUAGUCCACGCCGUAAACGAUGAUUACUAGGUGUCGGGGGGUAAAGACUGCCCGGUGCCGGAGCAAGCGCAUUAAGUAAUCCACCUGGGGAGUACGUUCGCAAGAAUG